rnacentral:rRNA from 1 species
UACGUAGGUGGCAAGCGUUGUCCGGAUUUCUUGGGUUUAAAGGGUGCGUAGGCGGUCCAUUAAGUCAGUUGUGAAAUACGGCAGCUUACCUGUCGCGGUGCAAUUGAUACUGGAGGACUUGAGUACAGACGAGGUGGGCGGAAUUGACGGUGUAGCGGUGAAAUGCAUAGAUAUCGUCAAGAACACCGAGAGCGAAGGCAGCUUACGAGACUGUAACUGACGCUGAGGCACGAAAGUGUGGGGAUCAAACAGG